rnacentral:misc_RNA from 1 species
CACACCCGCCUUCGUCGUAGCCGACAUCGCUUUACGCCUGCUUCGGCUACCUCUUCCGCACUCAGAGGCUUGUGUACACGUUGUGCAUCUCACCACCCCCUACACACGCAGGCAUAUCGCACCUCUCAUCGUUUCAUCAUCCGUGUUUCCUCCAUUUUCAUAGCCUUCAGCGCCGGGGGAUGCAAACCGAUGAGCGACUGCGCAUUGGUCUUCGUGUGCGAUGACGUCUCUGUGGCCGUGAUUUCUCUUUUCUUCUUGAAGGCGUGCGGUAAGGGCGGAAGCGGGGGAGGGAUGGCCGAUAAAUGGUGUGACGACGACGAGCCGAAACACUCUGCACCGUUCCCGUGGCGUGCUUCACCCGCCAUGCGGCCUCUUUUUGCCCCCAUUUCGCUCUUCACGGUUCAGAUCUCGAGGAGUCGAGUCAUUGCAAGCCUUUGGCUCUUGCCUCGCUCCGCCCCUAGCCUACCCACCACGACAGGGGCCCGUGCGCGACGGACGGAGGGUAUACGUCUGUCUGUCGUUUCGUGCGUAGUGUUACCCGGUGAGGACUUGAAAACAGCCGAAUUCUCAUGGGUCGCUUUGCCGGCGCUUGCGGUAUGGAGAGCGCGAGUGGAGGGAUACCAGACUGGUAUACUCUUCCACGGAAACAAGGAACUCGCCCCGCUGGGAAGCGCUUGGGACCAUGUGCUGGAAUGCGUCAUGCUCAACUCUCGACAUCAUUCUCUCCACCCUCUUUUCUUCUGCUUGUUUUUGGAGGUGGGAACUGGCAG